UACGGGAGGCAGCAGUGGGGAAUAUUGGACAAUGGGCGCAAGCCUGAUCCAGCCAUACCGCGUGGGUGAAGAAGGCCUUCGGGUUGUAAAGCCCUUUUGUUGGGAAAGAAAUCCAGCCGGCUAAUACCUGGUUGGGAUGACGGUACCCAAAGAAUAAGCACCGGCUAACUUCGUGCCAGCAGCCGCGGUAAUACGAAGGGUGCAAGCGUUACUCGGAAUUACUGGGCGUAAAGCGUGCGUAGGUGGUCGUUUAAGUCUGUUGUGAAGCCCUGGGCUCAACCUGGGAACUGCAGUGGAAACUGGACGACUAGAGUGUGGUAGAGGGUAGCGGAAUUCCUGGUGUAGCAGUGAAAUGCGUAGAGAUCAGGAGGAACAUCCAUGGCGAAGGCAGCUACCUGGACCAACACUGACACUGAGGCACGAAAGCGUGGGGAGCAAACAGGGAUUAGAUACC
rnacentral:rRNA from 1 species